rnacentral:misc_RNA from 1 species
CCAGCCAGUCCUACAUACACACACAUGCAUGCAUCGUACGUCGUCACACAGCGCCGAGAGCGAAGCUCGCUCGUCAAUCUACAUCAAAACCUAACAAAGUUGAACGUCACACCAGUUGUCGUGCUUGUGAGUGAUAUACCAGCUUCGGGUCGAGCUUGUGUCCGCACCGUGGGCAGCAGCUCGACUCCGACAGGUACUUCCCGUGCUCCUCGUUCCUCGAGCCCACGACGCGGUGGCCGCCGCCGCUUCCAGUCGCCGCCGCCGCUGCACCAUCCAUGGCUGCUCCCUGCAGCUCUCCUUGCUGCCAAGAGCCCAUACGAGUCUAGCAGCACGGCGCGCCCUUUACCAUACCAGCCCGUGCAUGAUCACAUGCAUGUGGUUCAGAGGGCUGGAUCGAGGAGAGGGAGACGGGAUCCACGCCGCCGCGCGCUGUGCCGUCCGAGCCUGGAGAGAAACGAGAUCGAGAGGAAGAGAAGAGGAGGAAGGAGAGAAGGGGG